GCGCUGCGGGCGGCUUAUAAUGCAGUCGAACGGCAGCACGUGUAGCAAUACAUGGUGGCGAGUGGCGCACGGGUGCGUAACACGUAUGUAACCUACCUCUAACAGUGGCAUAACAAUGAGAAAUUAUUGCUAAUUCCGCAUGUGGUUAAUUUGAGGCAUCUUAGAUUAACUAAAGAUUUAUCGGUUAGAGCUGGGCAUGCGUCCCAUUAGCUAGUUGGUGAGGUAACGGCUCACCAAGGCAUCGAUGGGUAGGGGCUCUGAGAGGAUUGUCCCCCACACUGGUACUGAGACACGGACCAGACUCCUACGGGAGGCAGCAGUAAGGAAUAUUGGGCAAUGGACGCAAGUCUGACCCAGCCAUGCCGCGUGAAGGAAGACGGCCCUAUGGGUUGUAAACUUCUUUUCUCAGGGGGUAAACUCCGGAACGUGUUCCGGACUGAAAGUACCUGAGGAAUAAGCAUCGGCUAACUCCGUGCCAGCAGCCGCGGUAAUACGGAGGAUGCGAGCGUUAUCCGGAUUCAUUGGGUUUAAAGGGUGCGCAGGCGGAUAUAUAAGUCGGAGGUGAAAUUCUGAUGCUCAACAUCAGCCGUGCCUUCGAUACUGUAUAUCUAGAGUCAAGUUGGAGUAGGCGGAAUGUGUUGUGUAGCGGUGAAAUGCUUAGAUAUAACACAGAACACCGAUCGCGAAGGCAGCUUACUAAACUUUGACUGACGCUCAUGCACGAAAGCGUGGGGAUCAAACAGGAUUAGAUACCCUGGUAGUCCACGCUGUAACGAUGAUUACUCGCUGCUGGCGAUACACAGUCAGUGGCUAAGUCGAA
rnacentral:rRNA from 1 species